CAUGGUCGACAAUGAUGACGCCGUCGUCCUCUCCAAUCCCAUGAAGGCUCUUCCCUAAUCCGCCGUUGGAAGAACUCAGGCUCAUCCUUGCAGCUAAAGACUUGUUUUUGGAACGGCCCAGUGGAAGUUUUAGGGAAUGGGGUUGUAGGUUUCUUCCCGCUUCAUCCACUGUAAAAUUAAACCUGCUGAAAAGGCAUCGAAUGAAAAGCCCCGCUCAAAGGAGGAAUUCGGAUUUUGGAACAAAUGGCAAGAACGGAACUUUGUCUGAUAAAAAAACACAUGAGAUAGGUCACCCUUUAAUGGCGUUCAGAUGCGGCACCGGUAAGGACCCUAUCGGCAUCUGUGUCCGGUGCUUUUUGCCGGUGGUUAUAGAUAGCGGGAGCUGAAUGCUCUGCUCUGUUGGUGUCUAUGUCAGUCGCAGAGCAAAAUGCGGCUGCCGCUGCGGCGUGGCCACAGCCACCAAAAAACUCACCUCAGAGCAGUCUCAAACCCAACGGAACUUCUCCUACAUAACUAAACGGCAUAUAAAUGCAAGGUUACAUACCACGAGCAGCUCGUGCAACCCAAGAGGUGCGGUUAUGAGAUAUGAGACACCCGGGUGCUCUUUUGCAGCUUCAGCAGUUAAUGACGGAAUAUCCUUUAAACAGACAGAUAAACGAUUCUUAUUAUCUGCAUUAAAAAUUGAACAAAUUCAUAAAUAAAAGCUUAGUUAGUUAUAAGAUGUAACCUGGUGCCAAUGGCGUCCUGGGAAAAGGAAGAAUGGGCUGACAACAACACGCUUUGCACCUUUUUGAACACACAUACCAAAUGCAUCUUUUAUUGAGGGUUCUGCCAACUCCUGAUCAUAUUGAAGAAUUAUACCAAUAUUGCAUCACUUAGUUUGUCAUUCGAACAUAAAAGGAUCAACAAACGGUGCAUCGAAUUCAAACUGCCUUAACAAUCAAUAAGCACAAACAACGUCCCAAAUUAAGUCUGGUGAUCAGGACGAUCGACUUUAGAUUAGACACAGGUCAAUAUACCCCUCAAAGUUCCCUACUUGGAGAUAGCAGACAAAAAGGAAGAGAUAUUUCAACCAGAUAUCUCAACUAAUCCAUGAAUCUCUAAACUCGAAAGUCCUUAUUACUGGUAAUUCUAGUACCUCAAUCAACUAAGCCAAAAUGCAGAAACGGGCUUGCAAACGAAGGGAUCAAAGCAUGUCACUAGUUCAUGAAAUGAUAUGCUCGUGUCCAAUGAAAACAUAAAACUAAUUCCAAACAAAAUUACCAUAUGAGCUGGCUCGACAAUCGGGUAUCCAGUUUUAUCCUUAAACAUAGCCACGAAUUCAUCUGAAAAUCCCACAGAAUCACACAACCCUUGUCAAAACUGUGUCACGAAAAAAGUGCGCACAGUAAAUUAAGUGAAGCUUACUUAGCAUGGAAUUAGAUUCCUUCCGCCGGGACCCAUGGUCGACAAUGAUGACGCCGUCGUCCUCUCCAAUCCCAUGAAGGCUCUUCCCUAAUCCGCCGUUGGAAGAACUCAGGCUCAUCCUUGCAGCUAAAGACUUGUUUUUGGAACGGCCCAGUGGAAGUUUUAGGGAAUGGGGUUGUAGGUUUCUUCCCGCUUCAUCCACUGUAAAAUUAAACCUGCUGAAAAGGCAUCGAAUGAAAAGCCCCGCUCAAAGGAGGAAUUCGGAUUUUGGAACAAAUGGCAAGAACGGAACUUUGUCUGAUAAAAAAACACAUGAGAUAGGUCACCCUUUAAUGGCGUUCAGAUGCGGCACCGGUAAGGACCCUAUCGGCAUCUGUGUCCGGUGCUUUUUGCCGGUGGUUAUAGAUAGCGGGAGCUGAAUGCUCUGCUCUGUUGGUGUCUAUGUCAGUCGCAGAGCAAAAUGCGGCUGCCGCUGCGUCAUGCCUACAGCCACUAACAGCCUUUAGAUCAAUCUAAAUGCC
rnacentral:lncRNA from 1 species